rnacentral:rRNA from 1 species
UACGUAGGGUGCAAGCGUUAAUCGGAAUUACUGGGCGUAAAGCGUGCGCAGGCGGUUUUGUAAGUCUGUCGUGAAAUCCCCGGGCUCAACCUGGGAAUUGCGAUGGAGACUGCAAGGCUAGAAUCUGGCAGAGGGGGGUAGAAUUCCACGUGUAGCAGUGAAAUGCGUAGAGAUGUGGAGGAACACCGAUGGCGAAGGCAGCCCCCUGGGUCAAGAUUGACGCUCAUGCCACGAA